GCCGAAAACUCGCUAUAUUUAUAACUUCUUCCAAAUUACGUGUACUUAAUGUCCGUCUUUGUGGCUGUAAAACAGUCUGGAAUAGCCGCCCAAUUUAGAAGUACUUUUCCUAAGAGCUAGGGUAUGUUUACAACUCCUUGACAUCAUCUGCAUCAGUGCAUGUUUACAACAGUCUUUGAAGGACAGUCUAAAAUAGUACUUACAAGGCAGCCUAGUCCCAGGCUCUCUCUCUAUUCGCUGCUUUGAUAUAUUUAAAUAAGUCUUAAAAGUUUUAUGCCUGGGUGUGCUGUGCGGAACGUGAAGCACCUUGAGCGGUGACGUCACACCUAGGUCCCAGUCUCGUACUACAUCCACUUUUUUCUCGCGCUUGCUUCAGAACGACUGGGACUAGGCUGCUUAUAAGGCAUAUUAUGAAUUGGGUGAGGGGGCAUUGGCCUGGGCCCUAAUCUUACCCUGAGUGACCAAGAGGCCCCAAAGAAAAUUUGCACUGAACUACUUCAAAAUGACGUGUAUGUAUAGCUAGUCUCCUGGGGCCGGUUGUAUCAAGCCCGUUUAGCUUAAACAGUGGAUAAGUCAAAAUUACAAACACUCUUUUCUCUCUCGUGAAUCAGUCAACUUAAAUAUUCUGCAUUUAAUAUGUAGUUGUAAACAUUAUCGUUCUAUUAAAGUUCAAAACUUUUAGUUUAGUUGUUGAAUGAAUCUAUAGACUUGCUUUCUAUUUUGAGCUUAACCACUGUUUAAGCUAAACGGACUUGAUACAACCGGACCCUGCAUACAAAAUUACGUGCAUGCAUAGCUAGGAUACUUGCACAAAUUAUCAAUAAUAGCAAAACUAUUUUGAUGUAGUUACGUAAUAUUAGUUUCCAGCAGAUCAUGGGAAAAUGGGCGGAAUUAUUAAAGAACACCUGCUCUGGUCAGCAAGCCUCUGCCCUUACGCCAGUUAAGCUUUCCGGUGUCUCUGGUUAAUGCGGCAUUCCAAACUGCCAAAUUCUGCCACAAUGACGUGGAUCAGUUCCAAUAAUCCUGACUAAGUGCACGUAAUCUCUGUGAAUGAAAGUAUUUUCCUGAAAAUAUCGUACUUGCACUUAUGUGCAUACCAACAUAUCGCUGAGGAUUAUAAUCAUGUCGCCUUGUUAUGAGUACAUAGGGUCGUUGUGUUGUGGAAGGCUAUACACACUGUUUCACUAAGCACUCUCAUGCAGCCCUUGGUCAACUUGCAGGUAUCAGAAUGGUGAAAUGUUGAUUCAUUAAACGUACUUUUGUAUUUGGUAGAAAAUACAUCUAGACUUAAGACAACUGCAGAUCGAGACAACUAUAUUCCUGUUGUGCUUAUAUUUUUCAUAUCUCUCCCAAACAGAAGCUGACUGGAGAAAUCUAGUUUAAUUUUUUGCUUCUAUUGCUCGUUUGCAAUCGACGCCAUCUUGGUUGAUUUUCAAAACAUCUAAAAAUCUAUAUUCUUCUUUCUU